GACAGAGGGUGCAAACGUUGCUCGGAAUCACUGGGCGUAAAGGGCGUGUAGGCGGGAAGGAAAGUCAGAUGUGAAAUCCCUGGGCUCAACCCAGGAACUGCAUUUGAAACUCCCUUUCUUGAGUGUCGGAGAGGAAAGCGGAAUUCCUGGUGUGGAGGUGAAAUUCGUAGAUAUCAGGAGGAACACCGGUGGCGAAGGCGGCUUUCUGGACGACAACUGACGCUGAGACGCGAAAGCGUGGGGAGCAAACAGG
rnacentral:rRNA from 1 species